rnacentral:lncRNA from 1 species
UACGGAGCGGACGUCUACGCCGUAGCGCAUCCAGAGACCUUGACACGAUUUAGCCCCGCCUGAUACGAAUUAGCAUUCGCGUAUUUAGCGUAUUAUCAAAUAAAAAUUAUGACAUUUAGCAAUUAUGAAACUGUAGUUCAAUAGUGCUUGUUUUUUUAGUGAUUGUGAACUGUACAUCGCGGUUUCUUAAGUUCUGAUCAACAUAAAAGAGAUGCGCUGAUCGGCACAAGAUGUCCGCUAGCGUGGUGUUGCUUGCGCUGCACAUCGCAGUCGCAGCUGCUGGGAAGUGUACUACUGGCUUCUCAGUGGUGGCGCCAGAGGUCGCUGUACCCGGGAAGACGACAGCUAUCCUGGUCACUCUGCACGGAAGAGCUGGAGAUGGUACUCUGGACCCUCUCAAUGUGACUGUGAGACUCGAAACUCAAGAUGCUGACAAUGACGUCAAAUUGCUGACAACUGCGAGCCAAAUGAUUACAGGUAAGA